GGGUCACCACCGGUUCGGUCCAAGUCCGGUUCAGGUUCACACAGUUCCUGCCACCUGUUGCAAAAUACUUGAUUAUCCACUAGGACCCACAGAUGAAUCGGACGGCUACAACGCCACGUUGAUCUUACAACAAUUUGGUUGACCUCUACACACACCUCUUAAUCUUGACCAGAGAGGUGAUGCUGAGCUCAUUACUACACGCGCCACCACUCUCCGCCUCUCUUCCCCGCCUCUUCUCCACGCGCGCUGCCAUGGCCGCCACCUCAGCUCGAAUCGCAGUUGUCGGCGACGUCGUAAGCAUCUCUCUCUCACUCUGUUCUUCUCGGACUUUCAAAACCGUAGCAAAUUUAGCAGAUUUCUUACUCAAACUCAUUUUCAAUUCGUGUUCUGGUUUAUGAAGCAUGAUCAGUGGAAUCUAGAAGAGGACACAAAAGCGCUUCGAUUUCUGCAG
rnacentral:lncRNA from 1 species